CCGGACAAGGCGUUUAACGUGCCCAGGCGUGAAGUAUGGCAUGCAAGGAUGGUUUCUGCCAAGGAGCCAGCCAUCGCCAUGUCCUCGGGUCUCUCCGUCGCCCUCCUGCAUUGCCUGUGCCUGGCGACCUGUCUCACCGGGCCGCCGGGGCAGAUCAAAAAAGAGGAGAAAUUGUGGCCGGAGAAUUUCACCAGCAUCCUGAACAGCCUCCUGGAUGGCUAUGACAACAGGCUGCGACCGGGAUUUGGGGGUCCUGUUACUGAAGUCAAAACAGAUAUAUAUGUCACCAGUUUUGGACCUGUUUCUGAUGUAGAAAUGGAAUAUACAAUGGAUGUCUUCUUUCGUCAGACAUGGGUAGAUAAAAGAUUAAAAUAUGAUGGCCCUAUUGAAAUUUUAAGACUUAACAACUUGAUGGUUUCGAAGGUAUGGACUCCUGAUACUUUCUUCAGGAAUGGGAAAAAGUCUGUUGCACAUAAUAUGACAGCCCCAAAUAAACUCUUCAGAAUAAUGAGAAAUGGCACCAUCCUGUACACAAUGAGGCUUACAAUAAGUGCAGAGUGUCCCAUGAGAUUAGUGGAUUUUCCCAUGGAUGGUCAUGCUUGUCCUCUCAAAUUUGGGAGUUAUGCUUAUCCAAAGAGUGAAAUGAUUUAUACCUGGACAAAAGGACCUGAGAAGUCAGUGGAAGUUCCUGAAGAGUCUUCCAGUUUAGUUCAGUAUGACCUGCUUGGGCAUACGGUAUCCUCUGAAACUAUUAAAUCAAUUACAGGUGAAUAUAUUGUUAUGACAGUUUAUUUCCAUCUCAGACGGAAAAUGGGUUAUUUUAUGAUUCAGACCUAUAUCCCAUGCAUUAUGACAGUGAUCCUCUCUCAAGUUUCAUUUUGGAUAAAUAAGGAAUCUGUUCCUGCCAGAACUGUAUUUGGAAUAACCACAGUGUUGACGAUGACGACACUGAGCAUCAGUGCAAGACAUUCAUUGCCAAAAGUAUCCUAUGCUACUGCCAUGGACUGGUUCAUAGCAGUUUGCUUUGCCUUUGUGUUCUCUGCUCUUAUUGAGUUUGCUGCUGUCAACUAUUUUACUAACAUUCAAAUGGAAAAAGCCAAAAGGAAGACAGUAAAGUCCCUUCUUGAGUUUCCAGUUGCUCCAGUACAAAGAAAAAGAAGUACAGAAGAGACAUUCACGAGUACAGAUGCCAAUUCAAAUGUGAGGAAAAGAAUGAAUGCCACAGUACAAUCUGAAGCUGAUGGUGGAAGCCGAAUUGACACAAGGCACAGCUCUGUCCAGCCUCCCUCUGUAGCUCAGGGGUCUUCUGACAUUACACCCCACUCCCUUUCUGCAUCAAGUCCCAACCCUUUCACACGAAUCAACGCAUCGGAGACAUUAUCUUCUGCAAGAGCUACCCCUCCUGCUCCUCCUUCUACCCCAAUUUUGACUGGAUUUGUAUCCCAGCAUGCCACAGCUGGAUCCCCUUCCAUUCAGCACUUGCUUGGAUCUAGACUGGAGCGGAUUCAGACCACCACACCUAAUACUUUAGGAGCAUCUGCAAAGCCAUCUGCUGUCAUACCACCACCUCCUCCCCCCGCCUCCCACUCUGGCACGAGUAAGAUAGACAAAUAUGCACGCAUUUUAUUUCCUGUUACCUUCGGAGCAUUUAACAUGGUCUACUGGGUGGUCUAUCUAUCCAAGGAUACCAUGGAAAAAUCAGAAAGUCUAAUGUAGUUUUGCUGCUAUGUAGUAGUUCCUAAAUUAUACUCACAUUUGAUGCAGAGUUUCUUCUUUUGAAACUAUUUAAAAAGGUCAGUAAUUCUUAUUUAUAAAAGCUGUGUGCUACUUUCCCAUUCUAAAGGCUGGAGUUAGUGGGGAUAAUUAGUUAACUCUUAACAGAGUAAUGGGUAACAGUAAUGGGUCUUCCUCCCUUCAGCCAGCAAUGAGCCAGCACUUGCUUGAGAAAAACUACUCUGGCUGCACAGAACUUGCAUUUGGGAGGAACAUGCACCUGAAAAAAAUCAGAGGCAGAGGUGCACAGCUGUGCAGUGGAACACAUCUGACUGCUAGGAAUAUGCAUGUUGGCUAUUACAAAUGCCUGAGGCACCCAGCACUGCUGUCUGGACAUGGCAUUCUCUGAGUGUGAGGUCUAUGUCCUGAAUAUUUUGACAGUGGUUGCUGGAAAAGGACUUUUCCCUGCUAGAUUAAAAUUGACAGAAUGAGGGAAAGAAAAUCAAUAGCGGCAAAAGGGAAGAGAGUCCAGCCUGGGAGAGUGCAACUCGAGGAAAGGCCUGUCCUCAGAGUUAAGAUGUAGCUAUUUUGGAGAAUGUGAGUGUGAUGAGAGUUUCAGCGUGUUCCGAGCAAAUCAGAUUCUGAAAGUAAAUUUUUGCCACGUCCCAGGCAAGUGAGAGUAAUGCGAAGCACAGAGCACCCUGUAAAGAUAUCUCUUUGCUAAUGUUAUAUUCUGUGUUAACUGGUGGGAAUGAAAAAUGCAAUUGUUGUAAAAUUGAUAGAAUUUGCAAAACAUAAAUUUUUUUUCAUGAGUUAGAAAUGUGGUAGGUACUUACAUCAGAAUUGAAUAACAUUGUCUUCUAAGUCCAUAACUUACUGCAUCUAAAAGUAUCUCUUAGACUUUCUUAUGCUUUUCGUGUUAUUCCACUGAAAAGGAUUUAGAAAAACCCCAGAUAAUAUCCAUUACAGUUCACUAUAUUUUUUUGUAACAAUUCCAUUUUCAUUUUCUUGUGCAAGGGGAAUUGAGAGCAUGAUGGCUUCUUCAAAAUAAAAAUAACAGCAGCAAAACAAAAGUAUUGGAGAUUCCCUUUUUUAGAAAACUUUCCAAAAGCUCAUCAAUUUUUGAAUGCUUUCUUAAAAAAUAGCAUAGUUUUAGUAUUUAAAAAUAAUAAUUCUGUUGCAGCCCGUAUACAUAUUUACAAAUAUCCCUUGAAAUAAUAUAAUUUCCCUGAAUUUUAAGGAGGCAAACUCAAGGUGCACUUGCUAAUAGUUCUGUAUUGAAAGAGUACCUUUCUGGAUGGAAAACACCAUGUGAGGUAGGUAUUUUUUUUUAUUACUGUCUUCAUAUAACUAUUUUCAAGAAAAAGAUCUGGAGGAAGAGUGUGGUAUUACUGAAUUAAUCUUCAAAUAGCAUGAAGAUCUGGGUUAUUUCCUGCUGGUCAUCUUGCUGUUGUGUCAACAUUUGCUUAGUGUUUUUGUGAAUGCUAUAUCCAGGUUGCUGUUAACUGACAUAGCAUUCUAUGGGAGAUCUGAUGACAUAAAGAAACACAAAAUUAAAUCAUUGUUUGUGAAUAUGUUUUCAUCCUUGGAAAAAACUUAACUGGAGUUUGGUAGAAGAAGCAGAUGACAGCAUGAGGAACUCAGCUGUACUUCUGAGCUCAAUACAUUGAAAAAUUUAGUUGAGUACUGCUUUGUCUUGCAUCGUCAUCUUGUGCUGGUGCUCAUCUCCAUGGUAAGUAAAACUGCUAGAAGGGUGGAGAACUCAGAAGAACAUCUACAAGUAUUUCUUCAAAGUUAUUUUGAAAUAUGAGAGAGGUAACAGUAACAUCACAGUAUGCUUUAUAUUUGCAAACUUGAAAAUCUUCUUUUCUGUUAAGAAGCAGGUUAUCAAAUGAACUUUUCAUAAAUAGAUGAUUCUGUAUGCACGUGUAUUUCAUUUUUUUAUUAAUUUGUGGCAGCAUUGUCUAUCACCAGAUGAGUGGUGAAGAUUUGAGGUAUUUCAGAUAACCAGAGUUCUUGAGCAAUUACUUUGAAAUAUUUGUUUCAUAGAUUCAUGCCUUUGCAAAUCAAUGCCAGCAGUGCUUUUGUGGUGAAAAUUAAUCCACCUGUGAAAAAUCCUGGCCUCGAACACUCAAGGCAUAUUUGAAGGGCUGAUGAAGUGCAUUGGGCAAGGCAGGCCUCAGGACAUGUUUAUUCUGAGAGGCUUCUGGGUUGGAGUUGGCUUAUGUCCUGCUAUCUUCUGAAGCAGUCUGCACCAGAGAGACUACAAGCAGCAUUCAUGGGCUUUUUGCAACCUUUUUUUAAGAUUCCACCGUAAAAGUGUAUUACUACUGAAUGUAGUGCCCUUACCCUCUUUAUUACCAUGCUUUGUGUGUGGAGAAGAACUUCAGCGCUUGUGGGGGAGCAGGCUAAAAUGACUUUUCUAGCUAAACCCCCAAUUUUGUCUUGUUUCCUUUUGGCUGGUUAGUAGUAGUGGGAUCUGUCUGAUCUGGCUCCCAUCUUAGCACUGGUACAAAGGAGGGCGUGAGGAGCUUGGAUUGGUACUUUGAGCUGGGCUAAUGCUGGUGUGAAACCACAGUCUGAGGAUUCUCGUCUUACCUCCACUGUCAUUAAAACAGAUGCUCUCUCAGGCUUUCUCACACCUUCGGUGCCCCCUGUGGUCACUUUUUCUCCAGAAAGGUGGUUUUGUGAAUUAUAUCAAUGACAAAUCAUGGACUAAAUAAAACCAAACAAAUUACCAAAAAAAGAGGCCAGUAUUUUUGAAAGAGUCCAAAUCAAUGAAGUUAUUUGAAGAGAGAGAAAAGGAAGAGAAGGGAAAACAUGAGUAUGGAUGAAAAAAUUUGUUUCUUGCUACCAAGCAGGUAUUUUAAGAUAUAUCUUAUUAGAGGUACUAGAACUGCAUCUGGCAGGAAACAACCUAGAAAUAAUUAUUUCUUCAUUAUAAGUAUAAUGAGAAAGUAAUAAAGAAACGUGUCUAGUGUCCUUUUAUAAACAUUUGUGUUCCAUUGAAGCUGUUUUCGAAAAUGGUAUUUCCAUUGUCAGCCAGGAGGAAUUAGAAGACAGAACGGGAAGGGGAAAAGAAUGAGUUUUAUUAAGUAUUACUGUUUCCCUUUGUUUUAGAACAUUUCUCAACCAAAAAUGUAAACAGUAACAUUCUUUAAAAAAAAAUUUUGGGAGCUCUAUAUAUUUAAUUUUCAGUAAUGAAGCGCUUUGGAAGGCUUAGCAUUUAAACUUGCUUUAUGUUUAAGAGACUAAAUAGAGAGAAUGAUGUCUCUGAUUUAAUUCAGUUAUCAGAGGGGAUGUGGGUGAAGAAAACAGCUUCCAUUACAGUAACAACCAGUUUUUUUAAAGUAUCUUGCUUUCCUACUAAAUAUGAAGACUUCAUUCUUGUACCUGAAUUCAUGGGAGUUGUUUAGAGCUGAGCAUUUCUGAUAAUCCAGUCAGUGCUACAGGUUGUGGGCUGCACCUGCAUUUAAAGUUGCUAUGUCUGAAACUGUACAUCCACAACUUGGCACUUGCACAGCAUGGAUCCCACAAAAGUCAAAGGUGUGUAUGUAGCCCACUGUGGGUGCACAGUGAGAGCUGUUCUAUUGCUCAUGUGGGGGAAGAUGGGAGUCUGUGGUCAGAAACAGGGUAAGGGGGGUGUAACUGCCUCUUUCAGAGGCUGAACAGCUUAUAUUGGAUUAAGCCGCUUAUGAAAACGCCCCCUAAACCCUUUUCUCAGUAGACAGCGUAGGAGCAAGCUGAGUGCAAUGUGGAAUUUGACUCCCAACUGUAAAUCGUGCAUGAGGAUCAGCACAGUUAAUCUCCUCUAAGGUUUCUGAUGCUGUGGCUAGAAGACUGAAGAGAUGUGAGGUAGCUCCUGCUGUCAGCUGGAGUGCCAAGGUAUCCUGUAGUGCAACAGGGUCUUUGGAGUAGUGGGGGUGCGAUGCAAAGUACUUUUUUGGAGUACAAAAUCAGGCAGAAUGAAAAUUUCCUUCAGAUCAGUGCUGGUCCUACGCACUGUAACAGCACAGAACAUCCCAAAGGAGCACCAAGGUGUACUGCAGUCUUGUCUUCUCCUUGCCUAUCUGCUAAAUGUUUUGAAAUGGAGAGUGGUGGGAAUGACAAAUCCAGGUCUGGUAAUGAAACAGAAGAUGCUUCGUGCUGCUGCCUGGUAAGUGCCGACAGUCUCCUGCCAGCAGCUUGUGGGCCUUCCCAGAGACAGAACUGCAUCACUGACAUUUCUGUAGGUAUAAUUAUUAUGCCACUACCCUCUCUCUUGUAACUUAAACACUGGAAAAAGGAGGUUUCUCUUUGAUGCUUUAUUUUGCUGCAUAAUUAUCCAUUUUCCAUUUUGUUGCAUAAUUAUGAAGAAGAAAA